GUGACUGGCUAGAUGACGCUGGCGGCGUGCCUAACACAUGCAAGUCGAGCGAGUAAGUUUAAAGGGAAUGAGUACAGCGGCGGACGGGUGAGUAACACGUAAAAAUCUGCCCUAUAGUGAGGAAUACCCUUGAGAAAUUGAGGUUAAUACUGCAUAAGUCCCUGCGGGGAGAAAGACGUCUUUUAUGUCGUCGCUAUAGGAUGAGCUGGCGGACGAGGGGGGGUGUUGGUGAGGUAAAGGCUCACCAAGGCUAUGACGGUUAACCGGCCUGAGAGGGUAUACGGUCACAUAGGCACUGAGAUACGGGCCUGACUCCUACGGGAGGCAGCAGUGGGGAAUAUUGCGCAAUGGGCGAAAGCCUGACGCAGCGACGCCGCGUGGAGGAUGAAGGUCUUCGUAUUGUAAACUCCUGUCAGAUGGGAAGAAAGGGGGAUGGGGGGGGAGACGUAAAAUAUGACGGUACCAUCAGAGGAAGCACCGGCUAACUUCGUGCCAGCAGCCGCGGUAAUACGAAGGGUGCGAGCGUUAUUCGGAAUCACUGGGCGUAAAGGGUGCGUAGAUGGCAUGUUAAGUUCGUUGUUAAAGGCUCUGGCCUAACUGGAGUAUUGCAAUGAAAACUGGCGUACUAGAGGGUGAGAGAGAGAAGUGGAAUUCCCGGAGUAGCGGUAAAAUGCGUGGAUCUCGGGAGGAACACCAAUGGCGAAAGGCAGCCUCUUGGCUCAUUCCUGACAUUGAGGCACGAAAGCGUGGGGAGCAAACAGGAUUAGAUACCCUGGUAGUCCACGCCGUAAACGAUAAUCACUAGAUGUGGGUUUGGCUUAGCUAGAUCAGUGUCGUAGCUAACGCGUUAAGUGAUUCGGCUGGGGGAUAUGGUCGCAAGGCUUAAACUA
rnacentral:rRNA from 1 species